GCUGGGUGUGGUGGUGCACGACUGUAAUCCCAGCAGCUUGGGAGGCUGAGGCAGGAGGAUCAUGAGUUCAAAGCCAGCCUCAG
rnacentral:sRNA from 1 species